ACAGAGGGGGCAAGCGUUAUUCGGAAUUAUUGGGCGUAAAGGGCGCGUAGGCGGCCAUUCAAGUGGCGGGUGAAAGCCCUCGGCUUAACCGAGGAACUGCCUGUCAGACUGGAUGGCUUGAGACCGGGAGAGGUGAGUGGAAUUCCCAGUGUAGCGGUGAAAUGCGUAGAUAUCAGGAGGAACACCGGUGGCGAAGGCGCUCAUCUGGCCCGAUACUGACGCUGAGGCGCGAAAGCUAGGGGAGCAAACGGGA
rnacentral:rRNA from 1 species